CACUUGGAUUCAUCAUGCAAGUCAAAGGAACAGACUUCUACGGCAUCAGUAGGCUGGCAGUUCGCCAAAAACUUGUGAUGAUUGAAGACACAUCCUAUUGUUCGGCCUGCUGCUGCAGAACAUUAGGAAACGCAGCAUGCAAGGUGGGUGCUGAAGCUAAGAUGGGACAAAAGUUUGCAUGAAUACCAAAGUGCAAGAUUUCUGGAUAGAUUCAAAGAAUCAUAGAACUAUAGAGUUGGUAGAAGCCACGACUUAAAACAGAUUUAUACCAUGAAUUGAUACUACACAAUAAAAUUUUGAAUUACAAU